CCCUAUCUUCUCUCUCCCUUCCACCUGCCCACCCCAGUGCAUGGGGAUAUGAACCAGCUGCCUGGAUCCAGCUCCCUCACUGAAGGAAAUCCAUGAUCAGAGCAGAAGCUGGCCCGGCCUAGAGACUCUCUGCCAGCCACAGGGUUGCAGACCAGAUAGGCUUCUUCCUCCAAGCCAAGAUAAGCAUCUGAGCUUUAUCUCACCUCACCCUCUGAUUCCCCCACCACCACCAUCUCCAGGACCAUACCCCCCGCCAGCCACACCAUGGCAGGCCAAGGCCAGGGGGAGCACAGAUAAGGCCCUCCUGGCCAGCAGACCACAGCAGGAGACGGGGGCGGGGGCGGGGGUGUAUUCUUCCUUUUAUCCACCCGAAGCCAGAAUUCUGCUUCCUUCCCUAGAGGCAGGCCCCAAGAGAGCAUCUGGGCAGCCCUCUCAGCUACUUAGGUUGGGGCCCUGCAUUUGGCCUCCAGCAUUCAGCAUUUAUUAUGUCCUAACCGAUUUACCUCUCAUUUUGGGAGCCAAUCAAAGGCAGAAAACCCUGUCAAUCUGAGCACCAGGGAAGCAGGAGAGUACAGUGUGGGCGGCCACUGCAUAGGAAGGACUCUUCCAGAUUUCUCGGCAGGUAAACUGACGGCCACUGGGAAUCUCUUGAGCCUGACGACCAGGGCCCACAUCCAAACUGCUAAGCACUCUUUCACAGACACCUCCUCCCUGCCAGGCCCAUGUUGCAUACUGGGGUCACAGAUCCAGGCCCAGCUGUCGCAGAGCACCUGGGAACCCAAAUGAGCAGCACAUAACCGAGCCUGGGAAAUCCAGGGAGACUUCACAGAGGAGGUGACAUUUCAUCUGAAUUUAUAUAUAUAUGCAUGUAUAUAUAAUUUUUCUAUUUACUUUUGGCUGUGCCGGGUCUUCACUGCCGCACGGUUUUUCUCUAGCUGCAGCGAGCGGGGGCUACUCUCCAGUGGUGGAGCAGGCUUCUCACUGCGGAGGCUUCACUUGGUGCGGACCAUGGGCUCUAGGGACACGGGCUUCAGUAGUUGGGGCACGCGGGCUCAGUGACUGUAGGCUCAGCUCUACAGCACAGGCUCAAUAGUUGUGGCGCACGGGCUUAGCUGCUACAUGGCAUGUGAGAUCUUCCCAGAUCAGGAUCGAACCCAUGUCUCCUGUAAUGGCAGGCAGAUUCUUUACCACUGAGCCACCAGGGAGGCCCCUCAGCUGAAUUUUAAAGGAUAAAAGGGAUUUCUUCAGACACAAAGAUAAAACGGA
rnacentral:lncRNA from 1 species